CGUACGUCGUUCGUUCGUUCGUCGGCCCCUCCAGGCCUCGCUCGAUCCACCCCCCACCGAUUUUCCUCCUUCUCUUUUUCCCGUGGUUUAUUUUCCCUGAACCAAAGAGGCGAUAGCUUAGGAGUCAGGAGCCCAGCCCGCACACCCCUCUCUUUCCCCUCAGCAACGGAGGCGCGCAACACGGACGCACUGCACCGAUCCCAAGAUGCGCUAGGGCUGGCCCGCCGCUGAUGGCGAUGGCUAUCAAAUGGCAACUACGGCGACGUUGACGCGCUUUUUAUCCCCCACCGUUGCCGCCUCCCGAGAUUCCGAGCGCGGAUUGUCGACCUGAUCUGUCGGCAUGCACAUGACGAUGGUGGUGCCGGUCUCAAUCGCCCUGAUUUGGUUUGACUGAGAAUCAUCGAUGUGUAGGCGACAAGCAGAUUUCCUUGGAUGUCUCCUUGCCCCUACCGUGCUCGAUUUCAUUCAAAGGCUUCAGGGCCUAUUUGUGCUUUCAGAUGAAGACUGAAUGCACGUGCAAAUACGAUCAGGAUGCAAUCGAGGAAUAUACGGGACUAUUUUUGCAAUUGUUGUCCCUCCCUAACUCCGUUGAGUCGAUAACCAUAUCAUCCUGUGAUAUGGGUUAAGGAAGACAAGGUAGUGCACUUCCAGAUGUUUGUCCUCCUCUCCUAGACGAUGGACAGUGCAGCGAACACGAGCAAAUAAAUUGGUAGAAGGUGCAGACGACUAUCUGAACCAAGGCUUGUGUAAUAUGUAAAGUGAGUUGCAGAUGCAGUAUCUACCUCUUUGAUAAGUAUUGGGUGUAGGUAAGACACAUCUAAUCUGAAUUGAGAUAUGGAUGGCGUGAAUAGUCUGUAUGUUCGAUUUUCGAUUGAAUGUUGAAUUAUUAUCAACUAGAUCUGCCUCCACCGACAUUACUAGCUCCUCCUUGAAUACCAACUGUCGGAAAGAGAGCAAUGGUACUGUGAUUGUACUGUUUUAUGCCAGGUGUUAAGGAAUACUAUUUGCAAGCAGUUAGCGAGGAACUGACGGUGCAUUAUAUUGUAUAGAAGGUUCUUUUGAUCCUGAAAAGCCAACUAUGCAUUUAUUGUUCUGUACCUAAUUUGGCCCUCCUGAAUCUCUAUAUACUACCCCGUCCAUUCCUAAAUGUAUGUCUUUUUAGAUAUUUCAAUAUGAACUACAUACGAAUGUAUGUAGACAUAGUUUAGAGUGUAGAUUCACUUAUUUUGCUAUGAAUGUAGUCUAUAUUGGAAUCUCUAAAAAAGACUUAUAUUUGGGAAUGGAGGGAGUACAUAUACAUAUGAUAGUUAUGUCAAGGACUUUUUUAGUCUCAGCUUUUGUAAAUCUUGUGACUUAUCAAUGCCAGCUUACUAGACAAUGAGAAGGAAGCCCGGAAGUGUGAUUCAGUGGAUAUAUUGUUGUUGCAUAUGACUUGCAUGCAAAUUUAAAUAUGAGGGAUUCAAGGGCUAGGUAGCAUGCUUCUACUUGACUGAAUUUAAGUAGGAGAGAUUAUCAAUUGCGUGCCGAGUCUUGUUGUACUUUUUGGGUUGUUUGAUUUCCUUUGGUGGUUUUUCAAAAUAAUCUUGAUUUAACCAUGAUUUGCUCUGGUGGUUUUUUGAAAUAGUCUUCGUUUCACAAAGACAUCAUGGUGAUCGCGCCUGGAAUACUCAAUGUCUUCGCUUGUGGUUUGUGUUCUUCAGGUCUUCACUUGCCAUGAUAUAUCUCUGAUUUCUUCUUCUCUGUUCUAAUUAGAGUCUGUUCUGUUUGCACCAUUUCGAGAUAAUGGUCGUGGAAUGCAGCAGCCAAGACAACAAGAUCAAGCUCGACUUAGGACUGAUGACAAAUAAAAUUUGAUUCAGAUGAUUCCUUGCAUCUUCCUCUCAUAAUUAAACCUAAUAAUACAAUUUUUUGUGCUCUUGCUUCUGCAGAUUCUAAAGAAUUGAUUCGUUGUUCGGGCAUUUCGUGCAUUUGGAGUUCACAGGUAUCUAAGUUUCUCUUAUAUGUGUUCUCAAAGAAUUUGGUACUCAGCACUUGGAUUUUUUAUCUGAACAUAUCAUCUCAAAGCCUUGGGUAGAACACGAGCAAUUGUGAGAUAGAGCUAUUUGCUACACCGUUUAGAAAACAGAACUGAUAAACUCUCGGUAGUACCUAUAUUGAUUAGCUAUGUGCUUACCUGUAAGUUCUUUGCGAAUUAUUGUAAUUCUUGGUACAUCAAGGUUUAAAUAAUGAAAAUGAGAACUACAUGUUGAGCAUUGCUUAUAAUGAAAACGUACGUCCAUGGUUUAAAGAAGCUUUAUUGUUUCAGUCUAUACUGAAGCUUAUAUUGUUCCCCGGUUGAUCUAGACAUCAAAUAUUUUAAGCUUCCUUUUUCUGAGCCAAUGGGCGAACUAAGAAAGGGAAAUUCGUUCCUUAAAUAGUAGUGGCAUUUUACUACGCAGAUAAUACCGACAAUUUCUCAAAUGAGUCAGCAUUAUCAUUCAGUCAGUAGGUUACUAAAUAAAGCCGGAGUUCGCAUGGAGCACCAACGAUAACCUCAAGCAGAUGCAUCGAGACAGGUGAUGAACUCUCCUAUGUUUCCUCACGUGAAUCUUGCUCCAAUCGCUUGAUUGUUCUAUCCGGUUUGUUGUGACAAUACAAUAAUUUUCUGUUUUUUAAGUGGUCCAGUCUCUGUUUGAUUUGGAAAGAUGGGGACUUUCUUUUGAGUUAUUUCAAUCUGUCAUUGGCCAUAACAUUCCAGAUUCCUUGUUUUAUUUCCUCUUUUUUUGGGACCUCAUGGUUGGAUUGGACCUUGUACUGUUGUGGCAAUUUUUUUGACUCCCAUUGCAAUGGACGGUUAUGCUUAUAGUUGAUGGUGAUGAUCUUUGUUGUGUUGAGCAAAAAUAUACCUAUUGUGUUUACUGUGGAUAUACUCGUAAGGAUAAGACACACACACACACAAUUACUUUGCUUCAAGAAAUCGCCUUUUUAGGAAUUUAUGUACUAACAACCAUUCUACAAAAAUGCAGGCAAAUCAGAGUUUAUCGCAUCCGAACUCUUCACUGGCAAUUUUAACGAGUUGGUGGACAUAUAUUCGUUUUGGAUGUGCAUGCCUGAAAUGAAAAGGUGAACCUUCUAACAAGGGAUUUUCUUUGGAUGCCUACCGGUUCUUUUUCUGUUGCUUGACUUUUGAACUCCAUGGUUGCUUAAUGCUUGGAACUACACCUUUCCAAACAUCCUUGUUGCUUGAUGCCAAGAGGAUUUCUCCAAGAGACUGGAACUAUGUUCCUCUGCAGUUCUCCAUUCAGACAUUUCUAUGGUUAGAGCUUUCUUCUGACAAAAUUGUGCUGGUGUCUGGUUGUAAAACGUAUUUCCUAUUACAGCUAAGAAAGAGAGUAAGUAAAAAGGGUAAGCCAAGGGCUAGCCUAAAAUUCCAAAAGGACUAUUUCCUGAGGUAUUUGUCAACGGCCAACCUGUCAUCAACCCAGUGUUGGUCGCUUGAACGACAUUCACUUCGAGGGAGUUUUGAUUAAAAGUUUGUGACUUAUCAUGCAUGGAACAUGCAUCUUUUGUUAACAUUUUCAUUGCAUUAUAUAUUAUAUAAAAGCGACAAAGUAGUGUUCUGGUCAUUGCUUUAGUAAAACAAAUAUACGUGGUAUAUGGUUAUGAAGUUGAAUGAAUGCUCAAUGGUCGGUUCAAGACUUCAAGAAAUUCAUAAUUUGUUCUGUGUGUUUUGAUUAAAAUGUGGCCUAGCUCAGUUUCCAGACUGUGGAUAGAGGGAUGCAUGGCCACCACUUUGCCGGAAUACCAACAGUUAGCCAUUUUUUGGGUAUAGCUAUCAACUAGAAUCUACAGCUUCACAUUUCUCUUUUUUAAAAUGUUCUCUAAAUACAUGUAACUUAUAUGGCACAAUUUUGAUGCCACUUGUAAGUUGUAACUUCACAUGAUUUGGUGAUUUGUCAAAGAACGACGGUGUCGGAGAAGACGAGGGGGAGGGGGCACUGAGCCAACAAAGGAGGCGGCUAUGGUAUGGCGAGCCGAUGAGGCGUAACACGUUAGCACUACCACGGGAGGGGAUCAAGGCAGAGAGUUGAGUGGUUGGUAGGGGACUUCUCGGCGGUCCGUGGGGAAGCACGGUGUGAAGGAGAGAGGGCACCAUAGCGAAGGUGAGGUGGGCAUUAUCCAGUUUUAAAGAAGAGGACUCCAACGAGAAAUGCCUUGCUACAGAGGGAAACCGAGCGUGAAGGGCAGAUUUCGACAGAAAAUGGGAAGGGUGCAUCGCGGGGUGUUUUUUUGUGUUGGCAUGCGUGUUGAAGAUAACAUGACGGAUAAUCUGGACAACCACGUUUCUCUCACACAUAUGGUCUAGAUUCAGGGGAGCCCAAAAUGUCUAGAAGGUUGAAUUUUGGGAGCCUACUGGGAGUCCAUUUGAUGUCCGGACACGUUCAAACAUAUGAGGAAGAAAUGAAUUUUGAAUUUAAAGACGAUCUUAGUCAUUAGUCUGAUUUAUUAUAUGCAUGCUAGCCCGUAGCAACGCACGGGCAUUCUACUAGUAUCUAUAUAUAUACCAAUAUAAAUAUACCAAUAUAAAAAGACCCAGUGGGGCAGAUCCAACAAAUCUCGACCAUCCAUUAGCUUUAAUCCGACCAUCCUUAUUGUCCUAAUGGUGAGCAACUAAACACGUUUAGCGUUAAACACGUUUACUGCUAAUCAAUCCUUUCAAUCCCCGGUCACUUUCCUUACGUACCCUUUCACAAGAAAGGAAAGUGCCACAGCAAAGCGUCGUGCGAUCCCCUUCCUUAUGUACCCUUUCACGAGAAAGGGAACUGCCACAGCAAAGCAUCGUGCAAUCC